rnacentral:rRNA from 1 species
AGCGAACGCUGGCGGCAGGCUUAACACAUGCAAGUCGAGCGGGCGUAGCAAUACGUCAGCGGCAGACGGGUGAGUAACGCGUGGGAACAUACCUUUUGGUUCGGAACAACACAGGGAAACUUGUGCUAAUACCGGAUAAGCCCUUACGGGGAAAGAUUUAUCGCCGAAAGAUUGGCCCGCGUCUGAUUAGCUAGUUGGUGAGGUAACGGCUCACCAAGGCGACGAUCAGUAGCUGGCUGAGAGGAUGAUCAGCCACAUUGGGACUGAGACACGGCCCAAACUCCUACGGGAGGCAGCAGUGGGGAAUAUUGGACAAUGGGCGCAAGCCUGAUCCAGCCAUGCCGCGUGAGUGAUGAAGGCCCUAGGGUUGUAAAGCUCUUUUGUGCGGGGAAGAUAAUGACGGUACCGCAAGAAUAAGCCCCGGCUAACUUCGUGCCAGCAGCCG